rnacentral:lncRNA from 1 species
GCUCAAUCGGAAUCCAGGUCAGCCCUGCCCUGUAACUGCAACAGGAGCCGAAGCCAACUGAUCUUCCUGGCUCUCUCAAAAAUUUUCAGUGCUGCUUAAGAGCUGGUCCUGUUCUCCUCAGGAAAUCAUAAUAUUAUCUUGACCAGGUUUAAAUUUGAAAAAAUCAAGGAUUGCAUUCUACAUGAGGAGAACACACUGAAGUCUGAAUUAACCCUACAAAAAUUUGCUCUCAAGUUAUGAAUUAAACAGUAAAAAUAUUGAAUGCAAGAUAGAAAAAAUUAUUUGCUGUCACAUGGACUCGAAGAGGUGAGUUGAAAAAUAGAGUAACGGCAAAUAUGAUAUCAUCUGGUAGAUGGGAUCCAUUGCCUCAAACUAAGUAAGAUCCAAGUCACAUUCAAGUCCUUCAUACUGUGGCAGCUGCUGUGGGAUGCAAAGGAUAAAUGUUGCAUAUCCUCCUGGAAUCUUAGUUUCAUCAGUAUAAGUCACGUCAUGAUGGAACUCAUUUUCCCCACUGGUGAAGAGUCCGAGAGGACUGAAUGACUGAAUUGAACUGAUCAGAGAACACAUGGCUACAUCCAAUCAUCAAGACUUGGGAAACGACUAACUUUGUGACAUUAUCCAAGUAAUCUUUCUGGAUUUUAAGUGACCCACAUCCUUGAUAAAGUGUAACUGGAUUGUUUUCA